GUCACCGAACCGCCGCAUCCGUUCCCGGAGCCGGGGACCCAAUCUCCGUGGCGCACCGUGCGCCCGGUCCCCCGGGGUGAAUCGGCCCUCACAUCAGACGAAACUCACGGACGGCGACCCUAGCCGUGCGCUGAGUGACGCCUCGAUCGGGGCCGUAGGGCGCAAACUCACCUUCCGCCCGAACCCGUCAGCUAACCCGGUAGGCGGCCGAAGGAGAGGCU
rnacentral:sRNA from 2 species